AGAGCCGCCGCCACCGCGCUCCCAGACAAAGGAAGGCGGGACACGCGCGGGACACGCGCCCCGGGCCGCGACGGGCACCCGACUCCCUAAAGCGAAUUAAUUCUACAAUCUGAAUACCAUUAAAGAGCCCCGCCCAAACUCCCCGAGGUUUUCAGCCUUUUGCCAGGUGUCAUCAAAGGCAGGAUCCAAACAGGCAGACGGGCGGCCCCUGGCUGGUUCUGGUAAGCGGGUCCCUGUGGCGGCCUUGGGACCUCGGUUCGGAGCCGGAGGGCGAGCUGGUCAGCCGGACCCCACCAGCGGACCGACGCGGCGAGGAGGAGAUGAGGUGCAGAGAGGAUGAACACCUUGCCAAGUAAUGACUGGACUAUUCUGAUCCAGAUUAAUGCCCGCUGCGUGGCCGAACAUGCUGGAGUUGAGGCUGCUUCCUCCCCACAGGUUCUGAAGCGUCCUAAUCAGAAGGGAACUGAGGAAGAUAACAAAAUGCGUGUGUAAUUUAGUUACCUAUAUGAUGUC